UGCAAGAUUUUUUUUUAGAAUUAAUUGCUUGUCUGAGUUGUUUUCCAUAGAUAAGACGGCAAGUGCCAGUUUUAAAAGGCCCUGCUGGAUUGUUCCACUGAAUACCAAAUAUCUUCAGGUGGUUCAACUUUCAGAGAUGUUGUCUGAUUAAAAGUUUCUGGUGAUCAGAAGAUUCCUCAACCAUUGUGGUAUCAAGUGGAAAUGAAAUGGGACUAAUCAAUUCUGAAGAUGCUGUUUAACCUGUUGUUGUUACAGCAGACAGCAGCACCUGCAGUCCUUUGUGUCUCGGCUAUUCUUCGGAACCAGGAAGGCUGAAUGGGGGCCUGACAGAGGUGAGGGCGAGCUGGCGUAGAAGAGGAGUUGAGGCCAGUAUGGAUCAGCCCUGACGAUAUUGAAUGGCAAGGCAAGUCUGAAGAGCUAGAUGGCCUACUGCUGCUCCUAUUUUUCAUGUUCUUCUUCUGUUCUUCUUGUAUUAUUUUUGUCACUGCAAAGACCAAUCAAUUGAAGCCUCAUCUUUCAACAAGUCUUCAUCUCUGCCUUUGAAAAGCCUAAUUAAUUGUUUGAUGAAUGGAAAACCUGGACAAGCCUACAGUGGCUUAUCCUCAACUUACUGUCACAGAUCCAAACCAUCAAAAAAACAAAGAGGAGAGCUGUGAAAAUUGGAGAAAACAAAACAAAGACUCAGAAUUCAAAUACUGCUGAAUACAUCAACGUAACUAAAUUGUUCUGACCUCAUCCACUGACUCCUAAUUACUUACCU